CACACCGCUCCCAGUUCUGCCUUUUCUCAGAGAGGUGCUGGCUCAGGGAGAAGGAGUUACACACAAAGCUGGAGCCAUCCUUUGUGGAGCUGCGUGCCCCAGGCGGAGGCUGUGAGGCAAAGCCUGGCCUUAGAGUCACAUGUGAGCCAGCAUAAUUUACUGUAGCACCAGGACUGGCAGCCACAGAGAUGUCCCUUCUCCUUCAGCACUGGAAGUGCAGGCAAUGCUCCAUACAGCACAGCCAACAUCCCUAGGCACCUCCAGCAAUACUGCUGAUCAUUACAGAAGCCAUUUCUCCUGAGUAACGUGGUGUCAUCUCCUGCUUCUCUCUUGCUGACAUGCAGACAAACAGAAUAAUGGGGAUUUGUGCACUGUUUGUGGCUCCUGCUUGGAUAGUGCACCCUCAAGCAAGCAAUCACAGCAGGUCUGUGGCCAUAACAGUUUUUGAAGCUCAAAGUAAGGAAUGUCUGGCUGCAGUGACUUAAAAUG